rnacentral:sRNA from 1 species
AUGGACUCCACUCUUCACUAUAUUCACAACGAUUCAGACUUGAGCAACAAUAGCAGUUUUAGCCCUGAUGAGGAAAGGAGAACUAAAGUACAAACGGUCGACACGGAAAUUGCUAAGCACUGUGCGUACAGCCUCCCCGGUGUGGCCCUGACACUCGGAAGACAGAAUUGGCACUGCCUGAGAGAGACGUACGAGACUCUGGCCUCAGACAUGCAGUGGAAAGUUCGACGAACUCUAGCAUUCUCCAUCCACGAGCUUGCAGUUAUUCUUGGAGAUCAGUUGACAGCUGCAGAUCUGGUUCCAAUUUUUAAUGGAUUUUUAAAAGACCUCGAUGAAGUCAGGAUAGGUGUCCUUAAACACUUGCAUGAUUUUCUGAAGCUUCUUCAUAUUGACAAAAGAAGAGAAUAUCUUUAUCAACUUCAGGAGUUUUUGGUGACAGAUAAUAGUAGAAAUUGGCGGUUUCGAGCUGAACUGGCUGAACAGCUGAUUUUACUUCUAGAGUUAUAUAG